GGGGGUAUAGCUCAGCUGGUAGAGCACCUGCUUUGCACGCAGGAAGUCAGCGGUUCGAGUCCGCUUACCUCCA
rnacentral:tRNA from 1 species